rnacentral:rRNA from 1 species
AAUAGAUACCCAGGUAGUCCACGCCGUAAACGAUGAGUGCUAAGUGUUAGAGGGCUUCCACCCUUUAGUGCUGCAGCUAACGCAUUAAGCACUCCGCCUGGGGAGUACGGCCGCAAGGCUGAAACUCAAAGGAAUUGACGGGGGCCCGCACAAGCGGUGGAGCAUGUGGUUUAAUUCGAAGCAACGCGAAGAACCUUACCAGGUCUUGACAUCCUUCGCUACCUCUAGAGAUAGAGGGUUCCCCUUCGGGGGACGGAGUGACAGGUGGUGCAUGGUUGUCGUCAGCUCGUGUCGUGAGAUGUUGGGUUAAGUCCCGCAACGAGCGCAACCCUUGACCUUAGUUGCCAGCAUUCAGUUGGGCACUCUAAGGUGACUGCCGGUGACAAACCGGAGGAAGGUGGGGAUGACGUCAAAUCAUCAUGCCCCUUAUGACCUGGGCUACACACGUGCUACAAUGGAUGGUACAAAGGGUCGUGAAACCGCGAGGUGGAGCUAAUCCCAAAAAACCAUUCUCAGUUCGGAUUGCAGG